UGCUUGAAGAGUGGGAGGAAAACCAGAGAUUUGGUUUGGGUCAUUCUCUAUCUGAGUUUUCUCCUUAACUUAUUUUAUCAGAGACACGUUCCCAAAAGCUCAGAGUCUAACCAGACACAGUGAUGCAGAGGUGGGCAUUGUUGUUUUGCAUGGCUGUGAUUUUCAAUGAACAAAUAUUUCUUGCCUAAAAGGAAGACAAAGUGUAACCUAAACAUGAGGCACUUUCUUAGCAAUUUUGCAUUAUGCUUUUGUCACUAGUACAGGAAGUGCCUGGGGGAAAGACAAGGCUGUUCCUGGACUUUCUCGUUUUGUGCUUCCUGUGGUCAGCUUAAAAUACAGUGCCAAAUUAUGUUUAGAAAGUUUUUAAAGAGGCAAGGUUAGCAAAAAAUUACUUUGAACUUUACAUAGGUAGUUGAGAAUCACCCUCUAUAUUUCUGUGUUAUUGCUACCUCAGUGAAACUCUUGGCUUCUUUUUGGGGGCAGGGAGUUCCAUUGUAAAGAGCAAGCUGAUAAACACUAUUGUUGGACAGAGCUGUGAAAAAUAUGUAUUUUAUGAUUGGCUUUUUGCAAAUAUUAAAAUGAAUUUAAUAUGUGUUAUGUUAGAAAGUUGUGCUGUGUUAAUUUUCUUAAGUCGUGUGUUAAAUAUAGUUUUGUAGUUAAAAUGUAACUUUUGUAGUUAAAAUAGAAACUAUGUAUGUGGGAUUAUUUUUUUAAAGAAAGAAGUGAGCUACUUGCACCAGAUAGCAGCCACAGGACACCUAAAUCUUUCAGAGAAAAAGCACCAUGGAUGAGGUGUUUGAAUAUGCAACAGGCUGUUGUUUUUAAGGGUUAAUCCUCUGUUAACGUGGGUCCUUUUUCAGGCUUAUUUUGCCCAGAAAAGGUACCCAGACUGUCCCUAACUCUUUGUUUUUAUUGUCUCAUAUUGUCCUAAAUCCUAAUUUUACCAAAUUUUUAUUACUCUAAUUAUAUUACUAUUUCUAUUAAACUUUUAGAAUUUUAAAAACAAGUGAUUGGCAUUUUUCACAGAGCCUGAAAGCUUUAGUCCAAGGCUGUAGCUAGAUCAAACAGGCAGUGCCCUGUGACACUUGUGCCAACCCUUUCCUAGAGCUGCUGUGGUGUGGCUGUGAGCUGGCAGCUUGCAGAGCUGCCCAUACCUUUGAACCUGAGUGCUGGGAAUGAAAAGCACAGGGUGGAUGGAAUUUGUGCUCUUGUGCAGCACUUGUAUAUCCCUGCAGUUCUCGCUUUGGAGUUUGUGCAGGUGAUGUGAGAACAGCUGGUGUAACACAGCUGUGGAUGAGUGUGGAUGCCAGCCUGGUCAGGGAGAGAGAAACAGCAAUCAUUUCUCACAGUGGCUUGCGAGAAUUUUGAAGGAGGUGUAAGAAUCUGAUAACUUCCUCUCCUCUGUUCUUGUGUCAUUCUUGGCCCAAGGGUGACAUAUGGGCACAGAGCUGAUGGGAUGGGCAGUGCAGAGUGAGCCAGCAGGUGCCUUUCUCAGCAGUCUCAGCACAACAGAUGAGGUUGCACACCCAGGCUUUGGAUCACAGCCUGAAUUGCCAUGCUGAGUCUUACAGAAAGCUCAAGUGUUGUUCCCACCACCCUCUUCAUUUUAAUGGGGUCUGCACUCUGGGCUGAACAGAUCUUCAUGCUCUACAGAGAAGCAACUUCUGGAAGACUGAAUUUGAAUAGGAUCUCCACUACUCCAAGCAAGAGAAAUUUUGUGUCACAGGAAACUGCACAUUUAUGGCUCUAUCUCAUUCUGAACUGUGCCAAAAAGGAUGGUAUUCAUGGGUAGUCUCAGGAGAUUAAUCUUUCUCUGUUAGCCAGUCUUGGUGAGCAAAUCCUGGAAAUAUUCCUCUUUCAGGACCUUUGCAGAAUACUUUGACAUCUAAUGUUUCUUUUAGAAUAUGAAACCAGACUGGUAGAAUUGCUGGAGUGUUAAAUUACUACAUGGUGUCUGUCUCCUGGAGGAAGAGGGUAAAAAACUGGAAAGCAAAAGUCUCCCACUGGAAUCUUGGCUUGAGGUGAAUAGAUGAAUGACAAAAUCUUUGUUCUGCAGUAGGGCCUGUCUGACCUUUCCUUUCCUGUUGAGUUGUGAAACAACAAAGUAAACAUUUAACUGAAUGUGGCAGCCUGAGACAAUUGGCCCUAUUGUAGAAGGAACUCCAGUCCCUUUACUCUGCAUAAAUUCUCUUUGCUGGCAAUGCUAAUAGAGCUGCAGUAGAAGAAAGCCAGGCCUUUCUUUGGGCAAGACCCAAGUUUAAGCAGAAAUACAAGUGGCUUAGUCCCUGAAAGUGUCCUGGAUGCAGCAGGGCUGCUGAGGAUCACCCAUGGUCAGAGCACUUUCAAAGGUAUUUUGUUUGUAGCAUAGGAAAUUAAUUUGUAAUACUGAAGUCUUCAAAGUCCUGCCAUCAGGCUUGUUGGGACUGGUUGGAUAUGAUUUCGUUACUAACAGAACAAUGGCAGGAUGGAAUUGCUGAGAUGUAUUCCUUGUACAAAAGGGAAUAAUUUCCAAACUGCUUUCCUUGAUUUCAUGGCACUGUCAUGACACUGCAUUCCCAGCUGAGGUGGGCUUCUGAGCAUGAAUAAACCCAUGAGUUCUAAAAUGCUGGAAAUGAACCUGAGCUGAAUGUUCAUCCAACUCACAUGUAUGUAGUCUGUUCCUUCCUUCCAGGUUUAACAGUUCAUACCAGCCUUUAACUGUGCCCUGGGAUGAUUACUCCCAAGACUGGAGUCUGCAUAACCUGCUGAGGAAGCCCUUGCUAAUACUCAUGCACUACCCCUGACCUUGCCUGUUUCCAGUCCAUGAGAACAUUUUUGUCCUGCCUUCCUGCUGUACAUGUAGAAAAUAAACUUUGCAAGCAGAAAAGGACAGCCUGGAAAUACAUUUAUUUUAAUGGUGGUUGUGCCUAUCUGAUAAAUCUGCUGGCCUGCUCUGUUUAUUGUGUGCUUCUUUAUUUUAGAGCAGACUGAUAACUGAAUUGCUUUAAAACAGAUUAGAUGUCAGUAAGCAUGGGACAUGUUUAAUGGACAUCAAAUGCACUUACAUUUAUAAGGAGUUUUACUUUCUCCUCUCAACUGUGCUAGAAUGCAGAUACCUGUUUCUUCUGACUUGCUGUAAUUAAUUUGAUUGACUGAUUAAUAUCUGCAUUUGGAUUAUAUUUGCUUUCAGAGAAUAUUUGUCUUAUAAAAAAACAAAACAAAAAAAACCCCAACCAACCAACCAACCAACCAACCAACCAACCAACCAACCAACCAACCAACCAACCAACCAAAAAAACCCAAACAAAAAAACCACCCCAGUGUAUCCUCAGCAGAAAGAUCUGCCUUGUAUUAAUCCCUUGGCCCCCAGAGAGCUUUUUCUUCUCUACAGCACCUGAAUAUUCUCAGUCUAUUCAAUCAUAAAGUUGUAGAGUACCUCUGCCAUAUAUGCAGAUUAAAAUAUUUCAGGAAAAAUGUCAAAAAAGCAACAAAAAACAUGGAAUAUACACAGCUGACCACUGAGCCCUGCCAUUUUCUGAACAGGACACUGUUAGUUGUUUUGGAUUCCCUUCCUUGAUCCACUUUCCUUUUCUCUGACUGUGGUUUGGACAGUUUUCACAAUGUAUUUUCCAAGCUGUUUUCUAGAGGGACUUUUAUGACACACUUUGAAUUGCCAAGCCCUUACCAUGGGAAGGAAUCUUGCCCCUUCUCUGUGAGAAAAUUAAGGGUGUUACAACUGACCCUUCCCCAGUUUUUCAGACAUGUUGCUUUCUCUCUAUUCUUUCUCCAUCACCCAAUGUAAAUGUGUUCCUCUCAGUCACAGAAAAAAAAAUAUACUCUUAUACCCCAAGAUUCAUUAAAUUGCUGUAUCUUUGAGUUCAUAACAUCACUGUACAUCAAUUCUUUGCCAGGUGGGCACCUACAGGCUUCCUAGGAGAGGUCUUGGAGAUUUCUUGAAAUUUUCCUGAGUUAGACCUGUCACAGUUCUCACAUCUUCUGUUUUGUGGAGCUCCAUUUGUGUGAGGAUGGGCUUGUUGGAUUGUAACUCAAUUAGGGGUUUUUUUAGGUAUUUUAAAGUGGAGUGUCCACAACUCUUACAGUGUAUGGAAACCAUAUCACCUGUUCUCCUCUGUGACUUGAAAUGGAUGACAAUGUUGUUUAAAGAGAAAAGGAGUCUGAACAGCUGAACCAUUUGAGAUGUCCAAUAUUUAGCAGUUAAUGUUACAGCCUAAAGCUUGCUGAAAGCACAGACAAGGCAAAGGCAUUCCUUUGUGGUUUUCUCCUCUCUAGCAAGGUGAUCAAUUGCUGAAGCACAAUAUUGAUCAGGACUGGGCAUGGAAACACCAUCCUGCCUUUGCUUGUGUGGAUGAAGGAUUGUGGGGAAAGUUGGUAUUGCCAAUAAAUGCCUAAAUACUGCACCUUACAAAAUCUUCCCUGCCUGAUUACUCUGGUUUUGGGGAACUAUCUCUAAACCCAGAGUGUUUUAUAAAGUGAGAGGGGGAAAGAAGAAGAAGACUGAAUUGGCUUUAGAGGCUAUAAUGGAGGAGUCAUCUCACAUGGAGAUAGUGAAAAAAUCUCAUCCUUUUGUGUCCUUGGGGAAGGAUGUUCUUGCUGGGGGUUAUCUGAGUGCAGUGUGACAUUGUCUGUGUGACCCUCCUGUGGGUUCAGCACUGCAACCCAUGUUCAGUGGUUUUGCUCUUUCUCUGGUUCUUUCAGGGAGAUAAUCUCUCUGCUUUAGACUUUCAUCCCCAAAAGGUUAUUUAACUUCUCCAAAUGUAACGGAAGACUGUGCAGAUGGGAGGCUUAAAAGCUAUUGUUCCUCUCCUUCCCUCCUAGGAAGGUUUCUUGGUGUCCUGUUGGCAAGCAAAACACACUCUGCUUUUUUUAUAGAAGCAAAAUUUAUGAUUCUUCUGGCCUGUUUAAAUUCACUCAGUCUUUCUGGAGUUCAUCCAACCUGAAGUUUUCAGACUUGAAACAAAACACAGGCAUUGGUUUGUUUAGCUCUAUCUCAAGUAUGAAACAAAAAAGUUUUUUUUGUUUGUUUGGUUGGUUUUAAAUAAUGUCUUGUUUCCCUAAAAAGGAGGUUUACAGGACUGACUCCAGGCAUG